UCUUGGUCAUUUAGAGGAAGUAAAAGUCGUAACAAGGUUUCCGUAGGUGAACCUGCGGAAGGAUCAUUAAUGAAGUUACCUCUUCUUGGGUUUCUACUGUUGCGCUGUAUGGCUGCACGUAGGCCUGGGAGGGGUUAAUCCCACAAACCCUUGUGCACCAUGAGGGGCUUAGACCUCUCCAAUAUCAUAUAAUCUAUAGCUGAUGUCUUUUGUCUUUAUUAUCAUUAAUAAUAAACAACUUUCAACAACGGAUCUCUUGGCUCUCGCAUCGAUGAAGAACGCAGCGAAAUGCGAUAAGUAAUGUGAAUUGCAGAAUUCAGUGAAUCAUCGAAUCUUUGAACGCACCUUGCGCUCCUUGGCAUUCCGAGGAGCAUGCCUGUUUGAGUGUCAUGUCAAUACUCAAACCCAUGCCUUUGUGUAUGGGUUUGGACUUGAAGGGUUUGCUGGCUUUUCGGAGCUGGCUCCUUUUAAAUGCAUUAGCUGGCUUUACGGGCCUGUUUUUCAGUGUUGUAAUCUUUAAUACGCGCUGUGAUCAACUAGUUCGACUUGCCGCUGAUAGACAACAUUUUUCUAUGUCUCUGACCUCAAAUCAGGUAGGAUUACCCGCUGAACUUAAGCAUAUCAUUAUGCGGAGGCA
rnacentral:rRNA from 1 species